rnacentral:rRNA from 1 species
UACGGGGGGAGCAAGCGUUGUUCGGAUUACUGGGCGUAAAGGGCUCGUAGGCGGCCAACUAAGUCAGACGUGAAAUCCCUCGGCUUAACCGGGGAACUGCGUCCGAUACUGGAUGGCUUGAGUUCGGGAGAGGGAUGCGGAAUUCCAGGUGUAGCGGUGAAAUGCGUAGAUAUCUGGAGGAACACCGGUGGCGAAGGCGGCAUCCUGGACCGACACUGACGCUGAGGAGCGAAAGCCAGGGGAGCAAACGGG